ensembl:lncRNA
GACAAGCACAAAAGCCCCGCCCAUGCCUCUGAGAACAUUGGACCACGAGCCUUUGAAAAAGGCUUCGGCUCCUUCGUCACGAGUAAUCUUCCUCCAGCAAUCAAGCGUGCCUGUGCACAUGAUAUCAGUUCCUUGGCGCCCUGACUGCAUCAUCAUGCGGCGACGCACAGUGUCGAACAGAUAGGAACUCAACCCAGCAACCGCCGUGACUGCGCGGUCAGCCAGCUAAUGAAGAUAGGAGUGUUCUUGGGAUCUGGAAGCAUUCCCUUGGCAGUGUCAUAGAUACCGAAGUAUGCAGCUCGGUAGAUAAUAAUACCCUGCACAGACACGUUAAAGCCUUGGUUACAGGCCUCUAAUCCCGUCAGAUUUGUAGAUCUUAACCGGGCAGACACCGAGGCCUCUGAAUUCCCUUUCAGCUCCAGCUUUGCCCAUGUCGGCUCCUAGACGGGUACGGGCAAAGUCGAGAGGGUACACAAAACACAGGGACGUGGCCCCCGGCGGCACCACCUGAUGCCAGAUUCCCUGCAAAGUAGCUCCAAAACUGGGUCCUCUUGUCCACAGCACCCAGGAAGAUCUGCUUGUAUUUAUCUUUGAAGGCAAAGUGAGAGCCUGGGUGGGGAAGUAUCUGAUCACAUUGGCCAGGUUACCACGCCAGAAGGACAGGACUCCCUGCUCCUUGGGGACAUGAGCCACGCAGUCUAUGAUGCCCUUGUACUGCUUAUCUGCAGUGAUUUGCUUGCUGGCAUGCUGCCCCUGCAUCAGCAGCUUCACCUGCUCGAUGGGCGCGACCGUGGUCUUGGAGAUGGCCGCCGCCACUCCACCUGCCAGGAAGUCCUUGGCGAAGGACACGGCAGCAUCUGUCAUCUUGGAAGGAAAGAGUGUGAGAUCAGAGACAAGUCAGUGGGAGAGGCACACAGCUACAACUCUGUCUAGAUUUCUUUCCUCUGAGGUGCGGGGAAUGACUGAGAGAACUCUUGAUCCUGGGUGGUUACCUGAAGUGGAGCUAGUGAAGUCAAACUGCUGGUGCACAAGGAACAUCGUCUGUAAUGGGACCCUCAUGUCUGAGUGGGCAGCACUAUUUAUAUAUCAUUCUACUCCUUUCUGUCAUGUGACGUUUCUAGUGAGAAACUAAAGAUCCUGCAUGCCACAAUGAAGAUCGAAGAUCCCAAGUGCGGCAACUAAGACCAGAAAAAUUAGUGACAAAUUCUAAGAGAACUCUGCACAAAGAAACACCGUCCUAGUAGCGUGGGAGGCAUGGGAGCCCACAAAGCUCCUAGCGACAGAAGAGAAGACUUAAUGAGAUCAAGUUUCUGUGCUUAGAAAUGUGCAACCCACUUUGGUCUCAAGAAAGGCCUCUCUGUCCCGGGUGAAAUCAUAGGGCUCACUCUUGUAAAUAGACUUCUUUUUAGACUUAAAAAUAAAUG